GCCGGGUGUAGUGGUGGGCGCCUGUAGUCCCAGCUACUUGGGAGGCUGACGCAGGAGAAUCGCUUGAACCUGGGAGGUGGAGAUUGCAGUGAGCUGAGAUCAGCCACUGCACUCCAGCCUGGGCAACAGAGCGAGACUCUGUCUCAA
ensembl:misc_RNA Metazoa_SRP Metazoan signal recognition particle RNA